GCCAAAGCUGAUACCCAUUUACAGCUGAGUGGAAUGAGACAAAGGAGAUUAAGUGUCUCAUCCAAGGACGCAGUCAGGCAGCAAGACUUUAGCACACACCUG